rnacentral:rRNA from 1 species
UACGUAGGCGGCAAGCGUUGUCCGGAUUUAUUGGGUUUAAAGGGUGCGUAGGCGGUCUUCUAAGUCAGUUGUGAAAUACUUCAGCUUAACUGGAGAGGUGCAAUUGAUACUGGAAGACUUGAGUACUGAUGAGGUAGGCGGAAUGGACGGUGUAGCGGUGAAAUGCUUAGAUAUCGUCCAGAACACCGAUAGCGAAGGCAGCUUACUAAGGAGUAACUGACGCUGAGGCACGAAAGUGUGGGGAUCAAACAGG